ensembl:lncRNA
AAACAACAUGCGUCAAAAGCAUGUGAUUCCAACGAUGCGGUAUUACGUAUAUUUUACAGAGACCAAUCCAAAGGCGGGGGUGUGUGAAAGGGCGUGGCUUGAAUGUGGCACUCUGGAAAAUUCGUUGGAUUACCAAAGGAAACGUCUUGAAAUAAAUGAUCCCGCACUGCAAUGCCAUGAAUAACUACGGCAUCAGUCUUGUGUCGCACUUUGUCGUCCAGAAUGUCCACAGACGCUCUACGGAUGAGAUGCGCCAUAGUAAACCAAAGGUGACACUGUGGGCAGCCAAAAUGACAGAGAAUACAUGCUUUGAUCAGACAGAUCCCUUAACAUCUAGCUGCUGGCAGAGAGAGAAGCGUGUUGGAGAGAACGCUGAUUCUUUUACUGAUUGUCUCCUUCCCAGCCCACCCUGGAUCUACUGUCCUCAGAAUGCAGGGUUUACUGUCCCCAGUCAACAGGAUCUACUGUCCCCAGUCAACAUGAUCUACUGUCCCCAGUCAACAGGGUCUUCUGUCCUCAGUCAACAGGGUCUCCUGUCCUCAAUCUUCAGGGUCUCCUGUCCUCAAUAUUCAGGGUCUCCUGUCUACAGUCUUCAGGGUCUUCUGUCCUCAGUCUUCUGGGUCUCCUGUCUUUAGUCUUCAGGGUCUCCUGUCUUUAGUCUUCAGGGUCUCCUGUCUUUAGUCUUCAGGGUCUUCUGUUCUCAGUCUGCGGGGUCUUCGGUCCUCACUCUUCAGGAUCUUCUGUCUUCAUUCUUCAGGGUCUUCUGUCCUCAGUCCACAGGGUCUCCUGUCCUCUGUCUUCCGGGUCUUCUGUCGUUAGUCUUCAGGGUCUCCUGUCUUUAGUCCUCAGGGUCCUCUGUCCUCAGACUUCAGGGUCUUCUGUCCUCAGUCCACAGGGUCUCCUGUCCUCUGUCUUCCGGGUCUUCUGUCGUUAGUCUUCAGGGUCUCCUGUCUUUAGUCCUCAGGGUCCUCUGUCCUCAGACUUCAGGGUCUUCUGUCCUCAGUCCACAGGGUCACCUGUCCUCUGUCUUCCGGGUCUCCUGUCUUUAGUCUUCAGGGUCUCCUGUCUUUAGUCUUCAGGGUCUUCUGUUCUCAGUCUGCGGGGUCUUCGGUCCUCACUCUUCAGGAUCUUCUGUCUUCAUUCUUCAGGGUCUUCUGUCCUCGGUCUUCAGGAUUUCCUGUCCUCAGCAGUCUCAACUGGAAUAAAUUAUGUAUUAAUCUGUACAGAAAGACGAUGCAUUACCAUGCAGAGUUAAAUAUUUGGAGUUUUUACAUAAAAGGCCAGUGAUACCUCUUCAAUCCUAGUAAAGGCUUUGAUCUGAAACUGAUGGGUAAAAAUCUACUGUCUGAGAUUAACAAUGUUCAAGUAGGUAAUGCUCUUAAUGUGUCAGUUCCAAAUUCCAUCAUAUUCUGUACAUAUUCCACUACUUUUGACCAAAGCCACAAGGUGAGUGUGCGUUAGGUCCCACUGGAAUGGCUGACCCAUGGUGGUGUUCAGUUUGGAUCAUUGUCUAGUGAAAAGGAUUUGGCCAGAUGGUGUUUAGUUUGGAUCAUUGUCAGUAGUGAAAAGGACUUGGCCUGAUGGUGUUUAGUUUGAAUAAUUGUUUCUAGUGAAAAGGGCUUGGCCUGAUGGUGUUCACUUUCAGCUGACUGAACUGGCUGGCUGUUGUGUUGUCCUUUUCUUUAGGCAUGUUGAGGCUGUCAGGUGAGCCUCCUCCAAGUACAACAGACGUUUGAUUUAUGAGGAAGGUGGACUUACAGGAAAACAACAUGGGUGAUGGAAAGAGAUGCUCAGUAUUUGACAAAUGAUUUACUAUUUGAAUGUUUGAUUCUUUACAUUAUAACAGCAGUCAACAUGGUAUGAUACAAUUACAUAUUAUAACUAGUUUAUUCUGUGCUGCAAUGUAAACUGAUGACAUUUACAUUGACCUUUACAUUGACCUCUGGUUACUUUUCCUAACUGAGAAGCUUCCUUCUGGAGGCAGCUCUGCCCUAAAGGCAGAAAUUGUGUUAUUGGUUGCUUUAUUGGUUAGGGCGGAGCCAGUGGCGUUGUUAGACCUGGGCUUCAGCCCAGUGUAUUUUUGGAAUAGCCCCGGGUCUGUUGAUCCAUUUCCAAAAAUAGAUUUUAGGUAUUUUUUGGUCUGAUGAGUUUGUGUAACCUGUGCAUAACUAUGUGAACAUGUCUGCUUGGUUUGGGAGCUGACAUUAACACAACUGAUAACACGCAAGAGAACCAAUGAUUGCUUUGUCACAGACCGCUCUUUGUUUCAAUAAGGCAGGGUGGUAUGUACUUCUACCCCCUAUCUGUACAGAGAUAGAGGUAUUCUUAUGUUCACAUUCUGCCUUGAGGCUGGAAGAAAACGUGACAGUUUUAAAGCACGUGCUACAAUUCUACAAAUGUUUUUUAAGAUUGAGAGAAAUGUUAACAGUUUUAUAUUCAGCUUUCAUAGAGCUGUCUCCAGAACAAAAUUCAUGAAGAAAUAUUCUAAUCUGUGACUGUUUAAACGCCACUUGA